rnacentral:rRNA from 1 species
UACGUAGGUGGCAAGCGUUUGUCCGGAUUUACUGGGCGUAAAGAGCGCGCAGGCGGUCGUUCAAGUCGCGUGUGAAAGCCCCCCGGCUCAACUGGGGAGGGUCACGCGAUACUGAUCGACUCGAAGGCAGGAGAGGGUAGUGGAAUUCCCGGUGUAGUGGUGAAAUGCGUAGAGAUCGGGGAGGAACACCCGUGGCGAAGGCGGCUCACUGGGCUGACCUUGACGCUGAGGCGCGAAGGCGUGGGGAGCGAACGGG